AUUGAACGCUGGCGGCAUGCCUUACACAUGCAAGUCGAACGGUAACAGGUUAAGCUGACGAGUGGCGAACGGGUGAGUAAUAUAUCGGAACGUGCCCAGUCGUGGGGGAUAACUGCUCGAAAGAGCAGCUAAUACCGCAUACGACCUGAGGGUAAAAGCGGGGGAUCGCCAGACCUCGCGCGAUUGGAGCGGCCGAUAUCAGAUUAGCUAGUUGGUGGGGUAAAAGCCUACCAAGGCAACGAUCUGUAGCUGGUCUGAGAGGACGACCAGCCACACUGGGACUGAGACACGGCCCAGACUCCUACGGGAGGCAGCAGUGGGGAAUUUUGGACAAUGGACGAAAGUCUGAUCCAGCCAUGCCGCGUGCGGGAAGAAGGCCUUCGGGUUGUAAACCGCUUUUGUCAGGGAAGAAAAGGUUCUGGUUAAUACCUGGGACUCAUGGCGGUACCUGAAGAAUAAGCACCGGCUAACUACGUGCCAGCAGCCGCAGUAA
rnacentral:rRNA from 1 species